rnacentral:rRNA from 1 species
UACGGAGGAUGCAAGCGUUAUCCGGAAUUAUUGGGCGUAAAGCGUCCGUAGGUGGCUGGUCAAGUCUGUUGUCAAAGCGUGCGGCUUAACCGCAUACGGGCAAUGGAAACUGAUGAGCUUGAGUGCGAUAGGGGUCACAGGAAUUCCCAGUGUAGCGGUGAAAUGCGUAGAUAUUGGGAAGAACACCAGCGGCGAAAGCGUGUGACUGGGUCUGCACUGACACUGAGGGACGAAAGCUAGGGGAGCGAAAGGG